rnacentral:rRNA from 1 species
AGUGAACGCUGGCGGCAGGCCUAACACAUGCAAGUCGAACGAAGCCUUCGGGCUUAGUGGCGGACGGGUGAGUAACACGUGGGAACGUACCUUUUGGUUCGGAACAACUCAGGGAAACUUGAGCUAAUACCGGAUGAGCCCUUAGGGGGAAAGAUUUAUCGCCGAAAGAGCGGCCCGCGUUAGAUUAGCUAGUUGGUGAGGUAAAGGCUCACCAAGGCUACGAUCUAUAGCUGGUCUGAGAGGAUGAUCAGCCACACUGGGACUGAGACACGGCCCAGACUCCUACGGGAGGCAGCAGUGGGGAAUCUUGCGCAAUGGGCGAAAGCCUGACGCAGCCAUGCCGCGUGAAUGAUGAAGGUCUUAGGAUUGUAAAAUUCUUUUACCAGGGACGAUAAUGACGGUACCUGGAGAAAAAGCCCCGGCUAACUUCGUGCCAGCAGCCGCAGUAAUAC